CAUAUUCGAUAAAGAAUACGUUUUUUUAUCGAAUAAUAAUUCACGAAUUAUAAAAAAUAUAUACUUAUAGAAGAAAUUAUGCACGUACUACAUAACGAAAAAAUCACACACCUCAAGAAGAAAUGGAGUUUCUAAUAACUAACGGAUAUCGAUAGUACAAUGACGCGCCACGUCAUUAUUUCGAUUAUCGAAUUAGAAAAUCGAUAUGCGCGCGCGGCAAGUCGAAACCUGUCGAAACCUGUCGAAACAUGUCGAGCGUGACAAAAAACGCGAAUGCUCAAAUUCUUGGAAAAGCGAUAUUAUGAAAACAAAUAAUGAACCUCAAGCAUUAAACAAAAAAGAAAAAA